AUGGCACCAUCCAUGAGUCUUGCAGCGAAAGGUCCGCUCCCCUUUGGAGUGCUCCCCUCGAGCGGCGUCGCACAGAGGCCGGUGUCGGUGACCGCCUCACUGGAGCACAAGAGUGAUUAUAAGAGGAAGCUCCUGAAGUGGUUGCCUCCCUGGCCUUACUGCUGCUGCUGGUUGCUUCCCCGUCCCCUUCCCCUACAGUGCUAUAUUGCAUCACUGAUCUGCACUGUUUGGUCACUAUUGGUGGUGCUGCUGCUGUGGUUGUUGGAGGUGUUGCUGUUGCAUCUGGCGGAGCUGCCAUUGGGGCCCCAAAAGGAAUUCUACCUGAAGAAAUUCAGAGAAAGCUUGAAGCCCCAGUUAGCGACUUGCUUUAUAUCCACCAUCCGGCGCCGUGGUGUGUGCUUGGCCGACUUUGUGUGCCUGCCGAUCUCCCUCGGUUGGUACGGCCCCGCCGAGGAUGACGGCCGACGGCUCAUCAAGAGCCAUUGCUACUGGACGGAGGGCGCCGCCAACUUCUACAUGCGCCCCAUCGAGGGCCUCACCAUGCUCAUUGACAUGGACACCGGGAAGGUCGUCCACAUCUCCGACUGCGGCACGGGCAUCCCCAUCCCAGCCGCCAAGAACACCUACUACCGUCGUGCCGCCAACGAUGACGAUGACACUGAUAAAUUCGGGUACCAGAUGGUACGGGAGCGGUCGAUGGAACCGGCGUCGGAGGGCCUAGGGUUCGAGGUGUUGGAUGGGCACACGGUGCGGUGGGACGGGUGGGAGUUCCACCUGAAGGCAGACGCGUGCGCCGGGCUGAUCAUGUCUUGCGCGACGAUGCAGGAUCAGGCCACCGGGCACAGAGGGAGGUGA
rnacentral:rRNA from 1 species